rnacentral:rRNA from 1 species
AACGAACGCUGGCGGCAGGCUUAACACAUGCAAGUCGAACGGGAUCUUCGGAUCUAGUGGCAGACGGGUGAGGAACACGUGGGAACAUCCCUUUCAGUUCGGAAUAACGUUGGGAAACUAACGCUAAUACCGGAUACGUCCUUCGGGAGAAAGAUUUAUCGCUGAAAGAUUGGCCCGCGUCUGAUUAGCUAGUUGGUGAGGUAAUGGCUCACCAAGGCUACGAUCAGUAGCUGAUCUGAGAGGAUGAUCAGCCACAUUGGGACUGAGAAACGGGCCGAAGUCCGGCGGGGGGCGGCAGUGGGGAAUAUUGGACAAUGGGCGCAAGCCUGAUCCAGCCAUGCCGCGUGAGUGAUGACGGCCUUCGGGUUGUAAAGCUCUUUUGUCCGGGAAGAUAAUGACUGUACCGGAAGAAUAAGCCCCGGCAAACUUCGUGCCAGCCGCCGCUGUAA